rnacentral:misc_RNA from 1 species
ACUUGCUGCAGCAAAUGACACAGUGUUUCAUACGUUUGUGGUCAAGUCUCAAGGAUCAGAGCAACUCACAAAGGAAAAGCUAAUGGCUGCAUUUUCCCAUGAACCCAACUCAUUACAGCAAUUAUCAUCAGUUGGGUAGUUCAGGAAUCGCAUUUAACAUAUAGUUCAUAGGCGUAUUCGUAGUGAAGAACCCUUUUGAAAGCUUCUUCAG